CUUGUAAAUUCCUCUCACACAAAAAGGGAAGGAGAAAGCACUUUCCACAGUUCCUUGAUUAGCCCACGGACAGAGGAAAUAGCAGCCUUGUGUCACCCUUCGGAGAUCCAACGAGGUAUCCCCUGAUAUACCGCAGGUCUUAUUUGCAAGAUGUGGUAUGCAGUGCACUCCUCCCUCAUCACGGCUCUCUAGUGUUCCCUCUCCCAGUCAGAACAACCCAGACGGGCUCUACUCCUCUUAUCAGAUGGAGCCAGGCAGGCAGGACAGGACGGGGCCAGUGUGGAUCCAGCUGCUCCCAGGAGCAGGGCGCAGUCCCACUUAAUAGGUCUUCCCGGCAUCCCAGGCCUCGCCCCACUGGCAUCCCAGUCACAGCCAGGCAGGCUACUCCGUGGGUGGCACGCCUUGGAAACAGGCGGCAGAGACAGAGGAGGUGGGUACGGGGGAGACUGGUAAAGACAACCCAGUCCGCCUGGUGUUCCAGAGAACUUUGCCGUUAGACCAAUUGCUUCCCGAGGACCAGUAAAAAGCAAUGGCUCCGACAUGGAGUCCCAUGACGCAUCAUGCUGAAUCUGAUCAGAACAUAUUGAGAGUUCAAAUGACACUUGCUUGAAUAUGCAGCUUGAGCUACAUCGAAAUGUUGUCAACGUUGAGCGAGUUUCUGUUUUCAUAUUGGUGGUGCUACCUGCUUAGAAGGCCGGUCAGGGUCUUGGUGUUCUAAAUCAUCCUAAUUGAUGGGUGUCGGAUGUGUUAGUAUUAUCAUAGGUGCUCUGAGAUUUGUCUCCAAAUAAAUAAAGCUUUAAUUUAUAAGCAUGGAC
ensembl:lncRNA